rnacentral:rRNA from 1 species
AUGCUCUCUCAAGGUUUCAAAAGGUCUAAUUAUGAUAGUUGUGUUUAUUUGAAAACUGUCAAUGGUUCAACUAUUUAUUUGCUCCUUUAUGUUGAUGAUAUGCUUAUUGCUGCAAAGAGUAUGUCAGAGAUUAAUGAACUAAAGAAGCAAUUGAGUAAUGAAUUUGAGAUGAAGGAUUUGGGUGCAGCAAAGAAAAUUCUUGGCAUGGAAAUAUCCAGAGAUAGACCGUCUGGAAAAGUAUAUCUAAGUCAGAAGGGAUAUAUUGAUAAAGUUCUUCGUCGUUUUAAUAUGUAUAAUGCCAAGCCAGUGAGUACACCAUUAGCUGCACACUUCAAAUUGUCAUCAGCUUUAUGUCCUAAGUCAGAUGCAGAUAUAGAGUACAUGUCUUGA